GGUUCACCCUUUAUUCACAUUGACAAAAAUGAAAUGCAGUUGUACUGAAGAUAGAGGUCCAGAUAGAAUCACUUCUGGUGCUCAACAUCAAAAUUAUGUACCUGAUUGUUUAGGCACAUGUUUGUUGCAUCAAUUAAUGCAAGACCCUAUGGAAACCCUCCACUUCAAAGGUCGUAGGAGCACCAUGGUUCCCUUGUGUCAGUAGUGCAAAAUCUGUAACAGGAGGGACAAAUGCAACUAUACAGAAAUGCAAACACUGUUAACAAGUGAAAUUUAUUUGUUCAAACACUGUGGCAAUUUUUGCAUACCUUCCAACCAUCCUGAUUUUCACUAGACUGUACCGAUUUUGACAGUUCAGCCUGCAGUCCCUGAUUCUUAUUAAACGUCUUGCAAUGAAGGCCAGAAAGAAUACAAUGUUUCCCAAACUUAAUUAGAUAAGUAGGCUUUUGGCAGAGAGCCCAGAAUACUCAGCACCUGCACUUUGAUACAAUUGUUACUAAUAAGAUAUGCAGGUCUCUUGGGGGAACUGAGACUAGCAGCUUAAGUCUAUGGCCAGAUGAUAUGGAUUCUCUGCAGAUGGAGAAUCCGUUGCCCAGCUGCUCCCCUUCUCUUCUGCAAGCAGGGCAGAAAUGUGAAAUGUCUUGUUUCAGUCCUGAAAACUGCCACGUCUGCCUGCAACCGAGUAGAGACAAUGUUUCUGGUGCAGGAGCAGCGGUGGAUGUGGAAUCGUGUGGCUCUAGCCUUGAAGGAGUACUAAAAUCCCCCGUACCAAAAGUCCCACUAAACUUCCUGGCAUUGCUCUUCCUCCCCGCGAUGUGAAUUAGUAAAAAAAAUAAAACCUUUCAAAAAUGUGACCCUUAAAUGCAGAGAUGCACAGCGGAGCUCCCAGUCACCAUCUUCCGUUUCUUAAUAUUGUCUUCAGGUCUCAAUGCUGACUUGCGCAUGUGCAGUUGAAGAUUCCUGACUCGGCCCAACUGUGCAUGCUACUGCAGGCUUUGUGUUAGAAAAAGACCCUUAUUAACAAAACUGUAAUAACACAUAAAACAUGACCCUAAACCCCCAGAAAUAUGUUCAUACUUGCUGAAUUUUGUAAAAUAUUUCUAUACAUCAGCAGCCUUUUUACGUUGUAAUUGUAUUUAUAUAGCAAAUACGCUCGGUAAAAUGCAAUAGUUACUAUUCAAGUGGGUAGAUAAAUGGGUCAAAAGCCAUUCAUGUGUCUCUACAGAAUGUUUCUCAUACAAAAUAAAACAUUUGUUGCCAAGAAAGAGUUCAUUUGUGGGUGCUGGUCGGAAAAAUUAAAAACCUCAAAUUUUAUUUUUACUGGUCCUUUAAGGCAGUGUAAAGGUCAUUGCCUAGCAAAUUGUCAGAUUUUUCCAGUAGGUGGUAGCAGUUAGUCAUAUUGCGAUAUUUAUUUUAGUGAUUUGUAGUUUAUGUUGAAGGAGGAGCCCUUGAAUACAAAGCGCAAUAGCAAGUAGAAAGCAAUAGACAAAGGCAAGAAGAGAGACCCUUCAGACAGCGUGGGCAGUUUCUUGAACUAAAGAACAAGUAUAAGAUAAGCGCCAUACCUAAACUGGUCAUAGUGAAGCAAAAUGGAGACGUCAUUACAGACAAGGGACG